CCAAUAGCGUAUAUUAAAGUUGUUGCAGUUAAAAAGCUCGUAGUUGAAUUUCGGGAUUAGCAGGUCGGUCGUGCCACUGGUACGUACUGGUCUUGCUGAUUCCUCCCUCUUGACGAGCCGUAGUGCCAUUAAUUUGGUGUUGCGGGGAAUCAGGACUGUUACUUUGAAAAAAUUAGAGUGUUUAAAGCAGGCAUGCGCUUGAAUACAUUAGCAUGGAAUAAUGAAAUAGGACGUUCGAUCUUAUUUUGUUGGUUUCUAGGAUUGACGUAAUGAUUAAUAGGGAUAGUUGGGGGCAUUAGUAUUCAAUUGUCAGAGGUGAAAUUCUUGGAUUUAUUGAAGACUAACUACUGCGAAAGCAUUUGCCAAGGAUGUUUUCAUUAAUCAAGAACGAAAGUUAGGGGAUCGAAGACGAUCAGAUACCGUCGUAGUCUUAACCAUAAACUAUGCCGACUAGGGAUCGGAUGAUGUUAAUUUUUUAAUGACUCAUUCGGCGCCUUACG
rnacentral:rRNA from 1 species